rnacentral:lncRNA from 1 species
CCUGACAUCAGUGCGCAGAGGGCGUGCCUUGGGCAUACGGGAGGACAUGAGUGUAACGCACUGUAGUGUGAACUCCAACUCUUCCCACCCAGGGUUCUCCCCCCUCAGGUCCAGUGGCGUGAGAGGCAGCGGUGAAAUAAUGCGGACAUGUUUGAUCGUAUUAGCGGCUAUUUACAAUGACACUAACGGGACUGUCUGUCAUCCUAAACCUACAGCUUCUAUCCAAUGCUUUGGAUGUUAGACCAUGUGCAUCUCGUAUGCCACUGCCACUGAUGGUAUGUGCUCUUUAAUUGAUGAAGUGCAUUGACACAAUAAACACCUUCAUUUCGGUACGACCGGGAUGUCUUCUUCAACUUUUCGUUAACUGUUGCAUUAGCUUAUCUUCUGCC